rnacentral:rRNA from 1 species
GACGAACGCUGGCGGCGUGCCUAAUACAUGCAAGUAGAACGCUGAAGAGAGGAGCUUGCUCUUCUUGGAUGAGUUGCGAACGGGUGAGUAACGCGUAGGUAACCUGCCUUGUAGCGGGGGAUAACUAUUGGAAACAAUAGCUAAUACCGCAUAACAAUGGAUGACACAUGUCAUUUAUUUGAAAGGGGCAAUUGCUCCACUACAAGAUGGACCUGCGUUGUAUUAGCUAGUAGGUGAGGUAACGGCUCACCUAGGCGACGAUACAUAGCCGACCUGAGAGGGUGAUCGGCCACACUGGGACUGGGACACGGCCCCGACUCCUACGGGAGGCAGCAGUAGGGAAUCUUCGGCAAUGGGGGCAACCCUGACCGAGCAACGCCGCGUGAGUGAAGAAGGUUUUCGGAUCGUAAAGCUCUGUUGUAAGUCAAGAACGAGUGUGAGAGUGGAAAGUUCACACUGUGACGGUAGCUUACCAGAAAGGGACGGCUAACUACGUG